rnacentral:RNase_P_RNA from 1 species
CACAGAGAACAAACCGCCGUCGUGCUUCGGCGCGUCGGUAAGGGUGAAACGGUGGUGUAAGAGACCACCAGCGUUCCGGGUGACUGGAACGGCUCGGUAAACCCCACCCGGAGCAAGGUCAAGAGGGUGGCUGGCGUGCGACGAGUCGUACGCCGGGCGCCUGCGCGGACGUUCGAGGGCGGCCCGCCCGAGUCCGCGGGUAGACCGCACGAGGCUGUCGGCAACGGCAGCCCUAGAUGGAUGGUCGCCUACCGUGACGCCGCGAGGCGUGCGGAGACAGAACCCGGCCUACAGGCCAGCUCAUCCC